GGAAACCGGGGCUAAUACCGGAUAACAUUUUGAACUGCAUGGUUCGAAAUUGAAAGGCGGCUUCGGCUGUCACUUAUGGAUGGACCCGCGUCGCAUUAGCUAGUUGGUGAGGUAACGGCUCACCAAGGCAACGAUGCGUAGCCGACCUGAGAGGGUGAUCGGCCACACUGGGACUGAGACACGGCCCAACCCACGGGAGGCACAUAGGGAUCUUCCCAUGGAC
rnacentral:rRNA from 1 species